rnacentral:rRNA from 1 species
GACGAACCGUGCGAACGUUAUUCGGAAUCACUGGGCUUAAAGCGCGUGUAGGCGGAUGGGAACGUCGGUAGUUGAAAGCCCCCGGCUCAACCGGGGAAGUGGUGCCGAAACGACCCGUCUGGAGGGACGUAGGGGGACCUGGAACUUCCGGUGGAGCGGUGAAAUGCGUUGAGAUCGGAAGGAACGCCCGUGGCGAAAGCGAGGUCCUGGACAUCUACUGACGCUGAGACGGCGAAAAGCUAGGGGAGCAAACGGGG